rnacentral:rRNA from 1 species
AGAGUUUGAUCCUGGCUCAGGACGAACGCUGGCGGCGUGCUUAACACAUGCAAGUCGAACGAAGCAUUUUGAAGGAAUUCUUCGGAAGGAAUUCAACUUGACUUAGUGGCGGACGGGUGAGUAACGCGUGAGCAACCUGCCUACAAGAGGGGGACAACAGUUGGAAACGACUGCUAAUACCGCAUAAGACCACGCUAUCGCAUGGUAGAGAGGUCAAAGAUUUAUCGCUUGUAGAUGGGCUCGCGUCUGAUUAGCUGGUUGGUGAGGUAAUGGCUCACCAAGGCAACGAUCAGUAGCCGACCUGAGAGGGUGAUCGGCCACACUGGAACUGAGACACGGUCCAGACUCCUACGGGAGGCAGCAGUGGGGAAUAUUGGGCAAUGGGGGCAACCCUGACCCAGCAACGCCGCGUGAGGGAAGAAGGUUUUCGGAUUGUAAACCUCUGUCCUUGGGGACGAAGAAGUGACGGUACCCAAGGAGGAAGCUCCGGCUAACUACGUGCCAGCAGCCGCGGUAAUACGUAGGGAGCGAGCGUUGUCCGGAAUUACUGGGCGUAAAGGGUGCGUAGGCGGUUUGGUAAGUCAGAUGUGAAAUACCCGGGCUUAACCCGGGGGCUGCAUCUGAUACUGUCAGACUUGAGUGCAGGAGAGGAAAGCGGAAUUCCUAGUGUAGCGGUGAAAUGCGUAGAUAUUAGGAGGAACACCAGUGGCGAAGGCGGCUUUCUGGACUGUAACUGACGCUGAGGCACGAAAGCGUGGGGAGCAAACAGGAUUAGAUACCCUGGUAGUCCACGCCGUAAACGAUGGAUACUAGGUGUAGGCAUCAUAAGAUGUCUGUGCCGCAGCAAACGCAUUAAGUAUCCCGCCUGGGGAGUACGACCGCAAGGUUGAAACUCAAAGGAAUUGACGGGGGCCCGCACAGGCAGCGGAGCAUGUUGUUUAAUUUGAAGCAACGCGAAGAACCUUACCAUGUCUUGACAUCGAUCUAAUCCUCUAGAGAUAGAGAGUGCCUUCGGGCAAGAGAAGACAGGUGGUGCAUGGUUGUCGUCAGCUCGUGUCGUGAGAUGUUGGGUUAGGUCCCGCAACGAGCGCAACCCUUAUGGUCAGUUACUAACAAGUAAUGGUGAGGACUCUGACAAGACUGCCGGGGACAACUCGGAGGAAGGUGGGGAGGACGUCAAAUCAUCAUGCCCCUUAUGACAUGGGCUACAAACGUGCUACAAUGGUGGUUACAAAGAGGAGCGAGCGUGUAAGCGUAAGCGGAUCUCAAAAAAGCCAUCUCAGUUCGGAUUGUGGGCUGCAACCCGCCCACAUGAAGUUGGAGUUGCUAGUAAUCGCGGAUCAGAAUGCCGCGGUGAAUACGUUCCCGGGCCUUGCACACACCGCCCGUCA